rnacentral:rRNA from 1 species
UGGCGGACGGGUGAGUAACGCGUAGGUAUCUAUCCUUGGGUGGGGGACAACAGUGGGAAACUACUGCUAAUACCGCAUGAUGACCGAGGUCCAAAGGUCGCAAGACCGCCUGGGGAGGAGCCUGCGUACGAUUAGCUAGUUGGUGGGGUAAAGGCCUACCAAGGCUACGAUCGUUAGCUGGUUUGAGAGAGCGACCAGCCACACUGGGACUGAGAAACGGCCCAG